rfam:Photobacterium halotolerans strain MELD1 scaffold1, whole genome shotgun sequence.
AGGCGUUUGGGAGCUGUAACCUAAGGGCGGUAGCAUG